rnacentral:misc_RNA from 1 species
UACGUAGGGUGCAAGCGUUAUCCGGAAUUAUUGGGCGUAAAGAGCUCGUAGGCGGCCUGUCACGUCGGAUGUGAAAGCCCGGGGCUUAACUCCGGGUCUGCAUUCGAUACGGGCAGGCUAGAGUUCGGUAGGGGAGAUCGGAAUUCCUGGUGUAGCGGUGAAAUGCGCAGAUAUCAGGAGGAACACCGGUGGCGAAGGCGGAUCUCUGGGCCGAUACUGAUGCUGAGGAGCGAAAGCGUGGGGAGCGAACAGG